rnacentral:rRNA from 1 species
UACGGGGGGGGGCAAGCGUUGUUCGGAAUUACUGGGCGUAAAGGGCUCGUAGGCGGCCAACUAAGUCAGACGUGAAAUCCCUCGGCUUAACCGGGGAACUGCGUCUGAUACUGGAUGGCUUGAGGUUGGGAGAGGGAUGCGGAAUUCCAGGUGUAGCGGUGAAAUGCGUAGAUAUCAGGAGGAACACCGGUGGCGAAGGCGGGUCUCUGGGCCGAUACUGACGCUGAGGAGCGAAAGCGUGGGGAGCGAACAGG